ACAAUUCAACAUUCAACCAAAAUACAAUUACAUUCAACCAAGUCAUUAAAAUUCAACAUUCAACCAAAAUACAAUUACAUUCAACCAAGUCAUUACAAUUCAAAUAAAAUACCAAGUCUUACAAGUCAAGCAAAAUACCAACAAUCCAAAAUGUUAUAACAUUCAAGCAAAAUACAAGUCAUUACAAUUCAAAACAUCCUAAUUAAUGUGAAUCCAUUGUAACUAGCUAGCUCCUAAACCUCAUCAUCGGAAACAACAUAAUCUACCUCGGGAUUGUACAGGUCAAGAAAACAAGUAGCCCAGUUGCUUCGCAAUUCAUACAUCUCCUCCUCGGUUAAUGACGUGGGAUCAUCGAACACCUACAAUACAUAUACAUGAUCAAGAAUGAAGCAUAUGAGAAGUGAGAAGGCUAGGAUUAAAAUGAUGCCAUUAUAAUUCCAAAUACAAAACACAGCUAGGAAACUACAACAGCUAAUGCAGCUAGGAAACAGGGAAGGAAACACAGCUAACUACAACAGGAAACACAGCUAGGAAACUACAACAGCUAAGACAAUUGUGAGAAAUGUCAAGAAUUUCUAAUUGUGGAAGGAAGUCCUACACAGCUAGGAAACU
rnacentral:lncRNA from 1 species